UAGAAAUGUCAAUUUUUCAAAAGUCUUCCCUGCUGGACUCAGGUAGGAAGGGGAGGAGUCUCACGAGGCAGGAUAUGACAUCAGAAGUAGGCUGAGAAGCAGCAUGAUGGAGGACAAAACAACAGCAUCAGAUUUAUAUCAGUGCGCUGUUCAAUUGGAUGCUGAUGAAGGGAAAAGCUCGGGUUCUGCUUCCAAAGAUCUGAGAACCAAAAUCCAGUGAGGAGGAGAUGUGGAUUCACGCUAGUAGACGCUUUGCUGUCCAUGGUGAGGGAACAAAACAAGGAUCCACACGUCUUUGAGGGAACAUUUCAUUACUGCGCUUCCGGUUCCUGAGAUCUACUAUCUCCCAGGACCUGAAGUGGACCUCCCACAUAGACUCCAUCAGGAAGAAGGCACAGCAGAGGCUGCACUUCCUCAGACAGCUCAGGAAGUUCAACCUGCCCCGAGAACUGCUCAUCAUCUUUUACACCUCCAUCAUCCAGUCUGUCCUGUCUCUCUCCAUCACUGUUUGGUUUCCCUCUGCCUCCAAACAUGACAGGCACAUACUGCAGCGCACAGUCAGGUCUGCAGAGAAGAUCAUUGGAGUCAGCCUGCCCUCCAUCCAGGACUUGUACCGGUCCAGGACCAGGAAGCGGGCCACUAACAUCUCUGCAGACCCCUCACACCCUGGACACUCACUUUUCAAACUCCUCCCCUCCGGUCGGCGUUACAGAGCUCUGUACGCAAAAACAUCCAGACACAGGAACAGUUUCUUCCCCAGGCCGUCACACUGAUGAACACUUAACACUGUGUCAUAAACCAGCUACCUCAUGGACAGAGCCACCUUCAUCUUUGCACUAUUGCACAUUAUCAUGUUUGUCUAUUGUUUCUUUUAUUGCACUCGUGCCUUUUGUACUUAUAUAUAUAUUUUAUAUAUUUUUUAUUAGUACUUGAUU